rnacentral:rRNA from 1 species
UACAUGCAAGUCGAGCCGGACCUGACGGGAGCUUGCUCCCUUAGGUCAGCGGCGGACGGGUGAGUAACACGUGGGUAACCUGCCUGUAAGACUGGGAUAACUCCGGGAAACCGGGGCUAAUACCGGAUGCUUGAUUGAGCCGCAUGGUUCAAUUAUAAAAGGUGGCUUUCAGCUACCACUUACAGAUGGACCCGCGGCGCAUUAGCUAGUUGGUGAGGUAACGGCUCACCAAGGCGACGAUGCGUAGCCGACCUGAGAGGGUGAUCGGCCACACUGGGACUGAGACACGGCCCAGACUCCUACGGGAGGCAGCAGUAGGGAAUCUUCCGCAAUGGACGAAAGUCUGACGGAGCAACGCCGCGUGAGUGAUGAAGGUUUUCGGAUCGUAAAACUCUGUCGUCAGGGAAGAACAAGUACCGUUCGAAUAGGGCGGCACCUUGACGGUACCUAACCAGAAAGCCACGGCUAACUACGUUGCAGCAGNCGCGGUAAUACGUAGGUGGCAAGCGUCGUCCGGAAUUAUUGGGCGUCAAGCGCGCGCAGGCGGUUUCUUAAGUCUGAUGUGAAAGCCCCGGCUCAACCGG